rnacentral:misc_RNA from 1 species
UCAAACUUGGUCAUUUAGAGGAAGUAAAAGUCGUAACAAGGUUUCCGUAGGUGAGUAGAAAGAUUCACCCUUCCCCUUAAUUCGUAAACGUAAGUGCUAACAUAACUUCUCUUCUAGGUGAACCUGCGGAAGGAUCAUUAUCGGGAAUGCCCCCCUUCGGGGCGACCUUCAACCCUUUGUUGUUCUAACCUGAUUUCUUUGGCGGGCUCGCCCGCCAGAAGACCUCUCAAACUCCAUGAAGCUUGUCCUCUGAAGUACAAUGAUAAUAAAUUAAAACUUUCAACAACGGAUCUCUUGGUUCUGGCAUCGAUGAAGAACGCAGC